rnacentral:rRNA from 1 species
GAUGAACGCUAGCGACAGGCCUAACACAUGCAAGUCGAGGGGCAGCACAAGGUAGCAAUACUGAGGUGGCGACCGGCGCACGGGUGAGUAACGCGUAUGCAACCUGCCUGUAACAGGGGAAUAGCCUCUUGAAAGAGAGAUUAAUGCCGCAUAAUACGAGAUUCGGGCAUCCGGAUUUAGUUAAACAUUUAUGGGUUACAGAUGGGCAUGCGUUUCAUUAGGUAGUUGGUGAGGUAACGGCUCACCAAGCCGACGAUGAAUAGGGGUUCUGAGAGGAAGGUCCCCCACACUGGUACUGAGACGCGGACCAGACUCCUACGGGAGGCAGCAGUGAGGAAUAUUGGUCAAUGGACGCAAGUCUGAACCAGCCAAGUCGCGUGAAGGAUGAAGGUAUUAUGUAUUGUAAACUUCUUUUGUCAGGGAAUAAUGGGUGUCACGUGUGACGCAGAGGAAUGUACCUGACGAAUAAGCAUCGGCUAACUCCGUGCCAGCAGCCGCGGUAAUACGGAGGAUGCGAGCGUUAUCCGGAUUUAUUGGGUUUAAAGGGUGCGUAGGCGGUUUGUUAAGUCAGUGGUGAAAGUUUGCGGCUCAACCGUAAAAUUGCCAUUGAAACUGGCGAACUUGAGUACAGUAGAGGUAGGCGGAAUUCGUGGUGUAGCGGUGAAAUGCUUAGAUAUCACGAAGAACUCCNAUU